UGCACCCGCUGCAAGCAUGGAUACUCAUGUUAAUAGUGAUGUAACCACUGAUGGAUCUGCCGAGCAGCAUCUGAUGAUUCUUCAGCAUCACUUGAUGGGAAAAGCUUGGAGAGGGAGGAUUUGGAACUAGUUAAAAAUCUUCAAUACGGUCUGCUAUCCCUUCAGCACUUGUUGACAAAGAAUCCGAAUUUAGCUUCAGUGGUCUCCACAAAGGAGAAGCUAUUCUACUCUUUGAAUGCUUUUCUCUUCCUGUUUCUUCAUCAAGCAACAUUCCUCAGCUAUGUCUACUUGUUUUGUCACGGUUGACAACAUAUGCACCUUGUGUGGUUUUCAUUCUUGAAGUUCUCUUGCCAAUACAAGAAGAGAUUCCGUUGCAGCAAAGAGCCGCAGCAGCUUCGCUAUUAGGGAAGCUUGUUGGCCAGACUAUGCAUGGGCCUAGAGUGGCGAUAAGUCUGGCAAGAUUUCUGCCUGAUUUCCUUGUCUCGGUAAUCAGGGAUGGUCCUGGUGAAGCAGUUGUGAUUGCUCUUGAACAAACAACAAAACUCCUGAACUAGUCUGGACUCCAGCAAUGGCUGCAUCGUUGUCUGCACAAAUAGCAACUAUGGCUUCGGAUCUGUACCGUGAACAGG